AGUCGCGUAGCUCAGCUGGUUAGAGCACCACCUUGACAUGGUGGGGGUCGGUGGUUCGAGUCCACUCGCGACUA
rnacentral:tRNA from 1 species